GUUCUCGUAGCUCAGGGGUAGAGCAAUCGGCUGCAGUUCCUCCACGUUUGGAUCCGAUAGGUCAGGCGUUCAAAUCGCCUCGAGAACU